GGAGGGUAUAGCUCAGUGAUAGAGUAUGUGCUUAGAAUGCACAAUGUCCUGGGUUCAAUCCCCAGUACCUCCA
rnacentral:tRNA from 1 species